rnacentral:antisense_RNA from 1 species
CUUCAACGAGCCCAGCAUCAGGGGCUGACCACUGUCGCGCCCGCUGCCGUAGGUGGCGAGGAGGGCUUGUGCCUC